rnacentral:rRNA from 1 species
AUUGAACGCUGGCGGCAUGCCUAACACAUGCAAGUCGAACGGCAGCACAGUGUGUAGCAAUACACAUGGGUGGCGAGUGGCGGACGGGUGAGUAAUGCUUAGGAAUCUGCCCAAUGGUGGGGGAUAACUAGCCGAAAGGUUAGCUAAUACCGCAUACGCCUUUACGGGGAAAGGCGGGGGAGUCGAAAGACCUCGCGCCGAUGGAUGAGCCUAAGUCCGAUUAGCAGUUGGUAGGGUAAUGGCCUACCAAGGCGACGAUCGGUAGCUGGUCUGAGAGGACGGCCAGCCACACUGGAACUGAGACACGGUCCAGACUCCUACGGGAGGCAGCAGUGGGAAUAUUGGACAAUGGGGAACCCUGAUCCAGCGACGCCGCGUGUGUGAAGAA